GCCUCCUGGCAACUUCCUCUGUCUGUUUCAUGGGACUACAUUCAAGGAUAUCCAAGACUGGAGGAUUUACAGAGCUCCAGAGCCGCCUGGGGGG
rfam:Sarcophilus harrisii ctg7180002510634, whole genome shotgun sequence.